AAUAGGUUCACUGCCUUGGCAGUUUUGUAUAUCCCACGUUUGGAAAGGCAUUUUUUAGUGCCUGGUGAUAAUUUAAUACUGGAAAUUUAGGGAUACGAGCACCUUGGAGUUGAGGUUGUAGUUGUGCAAAAUUCAAUGCAAUUGAAUCAGAAUUGAAUUUGUGGCAAUGUUUGGAGUGGAGAGAGGUUGCUGCCUUAAGCAGAAUACAAUUGAGGUGGUUGUCACUUGCAAGCAUAAAGGGUGGAGCUCUUCUUCAAGAAAGUAGUAUAGAAGGAACUUAAGAAGAAUUCAAGUGAAUACUUCAUCAACAAAAGAAGAAGAACAAAUUCAAGAAGAAGAAAUAGGUAGAAAAUUUAGAUAGAAGGAAUUGAAAAAUAAAAAUAAAAAAAAGAAGGAAAAGAAGAAAAGAAGCAAAAACAAGAUCAACAAAUUCAAAUCAUAAUCCAAGGUGAGUAUUUUCUUAAACAAAUUCAUUGAUUUUUACUUUAUUUUGCUAAUACAGAUUGUGGUUUGAAGAGAAGGAGGACAAAAAGAAAGAAGGAAAGCAUUAAUAGCUUGCAAACAAGUAAGUCCUUGAACCUUGUCAAUUAUGAUUUUUUUGAAAUUUUAGAAAAUUGCUUGAAUACAAGGAAUUAGAGCUAGGAAUUGGAGGGUAGAAUCUAGGAGGAAGAUGCAAGAGAGAUAAGUUUCCAAUCUAUCUUGUAGUUGUGGAUGGAAGAAGGUAGAUAGAACCUUUAAUCUAUUAUCUUUAAACUUUAAACCCUUACAUAGAAUGUUUAAUUCGAGAUCAGCUUGGGGAGAAGUCACAUAUUUUGGAAGUUUGUUAAUAAGUGACAGGUUGGCUAGAGAUGCAACUAGGUGAAUUUUUCUUUAAUGUAGUGUGAAUUGUUUGCAAAGAAUUAU
rnacentral:lncRNA from 1 species